rnacentral:tRNA from 1 species
UGGAAUAUAGCCAAGUAGGUAAGGCUUUCGUUUUUGGUACGAACAUUCAAAGGUUCAAAUCCUUUUAUUCCAA